GACGAACGCUGGCGGCGUGCCUAGUACAUGCAAGUAGAACGCUGAAGGAGGAGCUUGCUCUUCUGGAUGAGUUGCGAACGGGUGAGUAACGCGUAGGUAACCUGCCUGGUAGCGGGGGAUAACUAUUGGAAACGAUAGCUAAUACCGCAUAAGAGUAGAUGUUGCAUGACAUUUGCUUAAAAGGUGCAAUUGCAUCACUACCAGAUGGACCUGCGUUGUAUUAGCUAGUUGGUGGGGUAACGGCUCACCAAGGCGACGAUACAUAGCCGACCUGAGAGGGUGAUCGGCCACACUGGGACUGAGACACGGCCCAGACUCCUACGGGAGGCAGCAGUAGGGAAUCUUCGGCAAUGGACGGAAGUCUGACCGAGCAACGCCGCGUGAGUGAAGAAGGUUUUCGGAUCGUAAAGCUCUGUUGUAAGAGAAGAACGAGUGUGAGAGUGGAAAGUUCACACUGUGACGGUAUCUUACCAGAAAGGGACGGCUAACUACGUG
rnacentral:rRNA from 1 species